GUUGUGUUCAUAUAGACGAAACGAAACGAAACACCGAACUUUAAACAACAAAUACGAAUGGAAUUCAAUAUGGAAAUCAGCAACACGGCUAUAAUAAUUGGACUUUUAUGGUGGCUUCUAAGAAUAGCCGGGAGAUUCCUGUGCUGCUGUGGACAUGAUCAAUGUGACGUUCAGCUCUCAGUUGAAGAAACCGCGCCAUCUAUUGGUGUAAGCACUGUAAG